GGAUUGUGAAUCCACCAUGCGCGGGUUCAAUUCCCGUCGUUCGCCCAUCGCAUUAUUGCAAUUUCCAAAAAUGCA
rnacentral:tRNA from 2 species